AGUGGCGCAGCUAACGCACUAAGUAGACCGCCUGGGGAGUACGGCCGCAAGGUUAAAACUCAAAUGAAUUGACGGGGGCCCGCACAAGCGGUGGAGCAUGUGGUUUAAUUCGACGCAACGCGAAGAACCUUACCUGGCCUUGACAUGCAGAGAACUUUCCAGAGAUGGAUUGGUGCCUUCGGGAACUCUGACACAGGUGCUGCAUGGCCGUCGUCAGCUCGUGUCGUGAGAUGUUGGGUUAAGUCCCGUAACGAGCGCAACCCCUAUCCCUAGUUGCUAGCAGUUCGGCUGAGAACUCUAGGGAGACUGCCGGUGACAAACCGGAGGAAGGUGGGGAUGACGUCAGGUCAUCAUGGCCCUUACGGCCAGGGCUACACACGUGNUACAAUGGUGCGUACAGAGGGCUGCAAACCCGCGAGGGGGAGCUAAUCUCACAAAACGCAUCGUAGUCCGGAUCGGAGUCUGCAACUCGACUUCGUGAAGUCGGAAUCGCUAGUAAUCGCGGAUCAGAAUGUCGCGGUGAAUACGUUCCCGGGCCUUGUACACACCGCCCGUCACACCAUGGGAGUNGANUGCACCAGAAGUGGCUAGUCUCAACCUUCCGGGAGGA
rnacentral:rRNA from 1 species